rnacentral:misc_RNA from 1 species
UUGCAAUUUUCAAUCAUGUAUAUGAAAAGGCAGGAUAGAGUACCAAACAUUAACACCUCACAACAAAAGUUACAAAACUAUACUCCCAUUAGUAGUUAGAAAGAUCACAAUUCAUCCAUACCCAUAUUUUCCCCCCUUUUAUGAUUAAAUAAGUUACAUAUUUUAUAACAAAAAUAUGUCAAAAAAAAAACUCACGAAAACCCCUUGCGAAGCUUCUGAAUUGCAGAGUACAGUUUCCGCCUGGAACCCACAGCAUUUAU